rnacentral:tRNA from 1 species
GCGAGAGUAGCCGAGCCAGGUCAAAGGCGCUGGAUUUAGGGUCCAGUCUCGCAGGGGUUCGCCGGUUCGAAUCCGGCCUCUCGCA